rnacentral:rRNA from 1 species
GACGAACGCUGGCGGCGUGCUUAACACAUGCAAGUCGAACGGAAAGGCCCCCACCUUGGUGGGGGUGCUCGAGUGGCGAACGGGUGAGUAACACGUGGGUGAUCUGCCCUGUACUUCGGGAUAAGCUUGGGAAACUGGGUCUAAUACCGGAUAGGACCAUGGUUUAGUGUCUCAUGGUGGAAAAAUUAUUGUUUUGGUGCAGGAUGAGCUCGCGGCCUAUCAGCUUGUUGGUGGGGUAAUGGCCUACCAAGGCGUCGACGGGUAGCCGGCCUGAGAGGGUGGACGGCCACAUUGGGACUGAGAUACGGCCCAGACUCCUACGGGAGGCAGCAGGGGGGAAUAUUGCACAAUGGGCGCAAGCCUGAUGCAGCGACGCCGCGUGGGGGAUGACGGCCGUCGGGUUGUAAACUCCUUUCGUUAGGGACGAAGCCACACCUUUUUUGGGUGUGGUGACGGUACCUUUGUGAAGAAGCACCGGCUAACUACGUG